GAGCUCUGUGACAGGAGGGUGCUCUGUGACAGGGGGAGACAGGAGGGAGCUCUGUGACAGGAGGGAGCUCUGUGACAGGAGGGAGCUCUGUGACAGGAGGGAGCUCUGUGACUGGGGGAGAUAGGAGGGAGCUCUGUGACUGGGGGAGAUAGGAGGGAGCUCUGUGACAGGAUAGGAGGGAGCUCUGUGACAGGAUAGGAGGGAGCUCUGUGACGGGAUAGGAGGGAGCUCUGUGACUGGGGGAGAUAGGAGGGAGCUCUGUGACAGGAGGGAGCUCUGUGACUGGGGGAGAUAGGAGGGAUCUCUGUGACAGGAUAGGAGGGAGCUCUGUGACUGGGGGAGAUAGGAGGGAGCUCUGUGACAGGA